GUCUUCCCUCGCGCGUAGAGAGUGACUCGAAGGACCCCCUCUCCUCUUCGCUGCAGCCCCUCCCCAUGCACGCUGGGAGACUCUUGGAGGGGAUAAGGUGGGGCCCGGAGAGGAAGAGAAGACAAUCGGAUUGGAUAGGCAGCUGCCAUGGCAACUGGAGGCUGUGGUUAUAUUGUCAUAGUAACCGAUGUGUGCGGACAGGGUCACCCUCCCCUUGGCCAAUGGAUUCCCAGGAAACCACCCAGGGUUCCCCGUUGGCUUCCCUUCCAUCUAAAGGCCUCCCCCAAGUUUCGGGCCAAAAAGCUGAAAUAAAGAACGAAGUCAAUAAUAAUAUGAAGUGUAUGAGAAAUAGCUGGAAAAUUCAUCAUCCAUGACUUGAAGAAAUUGACGUUUUACAAGUUAUAUUUUCGGUGAAGAGGCACUUUCAAGAUCCUUCUCUGAGACCUGCACCAAUAAGACUAUACCAAUGUUCAGUUGAAACAUCAGACACUGUUCUGGUUAUGAUGGACACCACAGUGAAAGAGACCUGGUCCCUGCCUUGAGGAAACCCAACUGCUGGUAGAGAGCUCAGAGUAAUGAUUAGGAUGCAAUAUGAGGGAUGCAGUAAUUGGGGUAAGAACAAAGUAGGAACACAUGAGGUCAUGCUACUGGCCCCGCCCAGUUAUGUAACAACUUGCAUUUCCUCAAUUCUCUGGAAUGUGGCCAGUCAGGAACUUCCACAUUUGGUUUUUUUUUUUUCCCCCAUUUGUGGGUAAGAAAGUAAAAGAGGCAGGAAAACUGAAUUGAGAAAGAAGAAAGAAUAGGGGAAGAGAGAAAGAAAAAAGAAAACCAUGAAGCCUGGAAGAGGAGAAAGAAGAGAUAGAUGAGCAAAGAAGCACAUUGCCUGGUGGUAGUAAUAGUUGUCAGACACCCAUCUAUUAUAAUCUGUUUUCCAUGGGAGAUUUUAAGAAGAGGCUAGAUCCCCAGUCUGUCUUAAAAUCAAGAAAAGGGACUCUGUUGCCUCUAAAGUAUACUUCCAGACUCAGCAAUCUCUAAAUUCUGAGUGGGGCAUCCCUAGUUUUGCUGCCUAAAAUCUAUGACAGUUGGAAAUGAUUCCAUUUAAGAUCCAGUUCAAGAAGCUAUACACCCUGAGGAACUUUAUAUUGCCAUUUAGAGGACCGAUAUUCUCCAGAUUGCUUGAGCCCAGGAGUUUGAGACCAGCCUGGGCAACAUGGCAAAACUCCAUCUCUACCAAAAAAAAAAAAAAAACAAAAUUAGCUGGGCAUGGUGGUACACAUCUGUAGAACCAGCUACUCUGGAGGCUGAGCUGAGAGAACCCCUUGAGCCUAGGAGAUGGAGGUUGCUGUGAGCCAAGAUCGUGCCACUGCACUCAAGCCUGGGUGACAGAGCCAGACCCUAUCUCAUAAAUAAAUAAAUGUCAAUAUUCUCCAAAACAGAUUGUAUCAUUUGAAUUUGGACUUUGUGUACACUUGAUACUACACUUAAUCUUUGCCAAAAAGCCGAGAAGCAAUGGACUUUGGGUACAAGGUGGAAUAUCACUCUACUCUCACCCAUUUUAGUAUGAGUGAAAAUACCAUUUAAAACAAAACAAAACAAAACAAAAUAAGGUAGUCCAGACAGU
rnacentral:lncRNA from 10 species